CUCACUGGUCGAGUCGGCCUGCGCGGAAGAUGUAACGGGGCUAAACCAUGCACCGAAGCUGCGGCAGCGAACGUAUCACUUAAAGCGAUUCAGCGGGUUACGAUUGACGGAGCGAAGCGACGUCAAAGCGUAUACAAAGUCGAGUCGGUUUAAGGAUACGUUCGUUGGGUAGGGGAGCGUUCUGUAAGCCUGUGAAGGUGGCCUGUGAGGGUUGCUGGAGGUAUCAGAAGUGCGAAUGCUGACAUAAGUAACGAUAAAGCGGGUGAAAAGCCCGCUCGCCGGAAGACCAAGGGUUCCUGUCCAACGUUAAUCGGGGCAGGGUGAGUCGACCCCUAAGGCGAGGCCGAAAGGCGUAGUCGAUGGGAAACGGGUUAAUAUUCCCGUACUUGGUGUUACUGCGAAGGGGGGACGGAGAAGGCUAUGUUGGCCGGGCGACGGUUGUCCCGGUUUAAGCGUGUAGGUGUGUGUUCCAGGUAAAUCCGGUU
rnacentral:rRNA from 1 species